GGAUGACAGGAAUCCUGGUGUGAACGCCUUCAGUGGCAGGGAACGCGGGGUCUCCUCUGACUGUGAGCACCCACCCACCACCAGACAGGGCCUGCUUCAGGACUGGAAGGGUCCACGUCCACUGAUGGUUCUGCGCAGAGAAGGAAAGGGGAGUCAACCCCUCUGGGGCCUCUUCCAGCUCCAAGAUUCUGGAACAUGUCCCAGGUUGUCACAACAAAGGAUUCACAAAGGCUGUGCUGAAGCAUGCCCCGGGGUACACCAGGAGCGCUUUGAGGAGGGGCAGAGCAACCAUCACUGCCCAUGUCAGAACCAAGACACCAUGCACCAAGAGGAACCUCAGGUGCAGUGCGGGAACAUGAGACAUCUCCUUCCUAUAGUGAGGAUGUCUGUGCAUCUGCGGCUGAUAGGGGAGCAGGGACACGUCCCCUCCUGGAGAGGGAGCUGCUCAGGGGGCUGUGAGCUACUGUCUGGAUGCCUCGAAGGCUGUCACCACAGCACGGUCAGAGUCGAAGCCAGAGUGCAGAGGGGCAGAGAGUGACCAGUGACUGGGAGGAAACACAGAUGGGCCCAUCGGCCUCCUCUGCCUGGAAAACGGCCUCCUGCGGCCUCCUGCAGCUCAAGCGCUGUCCUUGAUUCUUCACAAUGGAAUUAGUGGCUCCAGCCUCUGGUGUCUCCAUGGUCUUUGUUCUUUAUGCAAAGCCCCAGUGACACAAUCCAGUCAUUGAUAUGCUCACCAGUCCCUGUGCCAUGACCCUGCCCACAGGAUUGGGUUAAGGCCCCAGGCAGGACGAUGCCCCCCAGCGCCCAGGAGCAGAGUAUGGCUGUGGAGGCAGAAGGAGGGGAGGCAGGUCUGGUAGGAGGACUGGGGAGGGAGCCCGGGCACGUGGACAUGGGGCCCCCGGCACAGAGCCAGGGCCCUGCUAGGAUCACAGGAGGCCCCCGUCACAAUCGUGCAGGAGAAAGGACUAACAGAGAGCAUCAGUAAAUCUAAACUGCGAGUAGAAAUUAUGGGGUUGACUUGGGGGUGAUCUUGGUGGGGGACAGUCGGGAAGACCCCUGGUGGGGCUUUCAUGGCUGGCCUCUCAGCUUCAGGAUGACUGGGGUAGAUGGCAGGUGAAACCCAGGCGGGGCAGGAGGGACCAAGAGACUAGAGAGAAGGUCCUGCUGGCUCGGGACAAGUUCAAGGCGCGCCCGUGGCCACAGGAUGCUGCAGGCUGACAGCUCCAGCACUGCAACCGCAGACACCUGUCAGCCUUCCCCUUUGCUCUGAAGCCUUUGCUUUGAGUUUGCGAAGUGGUUGGGUGACUGCUAAUCUGGACGGGCUCUCUUAGAUUUUGUGACAAGCAGACUGCCUGGUCCCUGCCCUGUGGUCCCCCCUAGCCAGCAUGUGCGCCCGGGCUUGUUCCACACAAGGGGGGAUUCUAGGAGCGCAAGCCUAAGCUGCAGGGCUUCUUGAGGACAGGUUUGGGACAUCCCUGACUCUUCAUCCCCAUUCUCGUUGCCACAGCAAGUUACAGCUUGGCCACACUCAGGAGAGG
rnacentral:lncRNA from 1 species